rnacentral:tRNA from 1 species
CAGGGAGACAACAAAAUGUUUAAUAUUAUUAUUUUGUCACCUUAGGUCGAUCGGUAUCUCACGUUUUUAAUUUAUUAGGAAUUUCAUUUCCUAAGUUUUUCUAGGUCACACCCAUUUUUUUCCUGGGCCAUUAGCUCAGGUGGUUAGAGCGCACCCCUGAUAAGGGUGAGGUCCCUGGUUCAAGUCCAGGAUGGCCCAUACCUCUAUGUUGGGGGUAUAGCUCAGUUGGUAGAGCGCCUGCUUUGCAAGCAGGAUGUCAGCGGUUCGAGUCCGCUUACCUCCACUGAUUACCACCUCUACCAUAAUCUGUAGAAAGGAAAUGUUUUGAGUUGUGAUCAAAUUCUGAACGAAUCUAGCUUCCUAAUGAAAUCAUUAAGAUGCUGGACUCAUUGAAUUAAUUUCAUUGUUUUCAGAGAACCUUGACAACUGCAUAGAUUAUUUUUAAAGACAAUAAGCAUCUUUAUUGAUGCAGAUUUAUUAUUUGUGCGAAUGCAUUAAUAACAAUUCUAUUAAGCUGAUGCUUCAAUUUUGAAGUUAUU